CGAGCGGUGGCGUGGUUGUAGUUGUCCGUUUUUGCCAAGAAGAGAAAUAAAGUUCGACAAGUUCUUCAUCUGCCUCCUCCUUGUUUUGCCGCCAGCAGAGCUUGUUACCAGCAAACGAGCCGAAAUAGACACCAGCCUGUUCUGGACUUACCAAGAUAAGGACUCUCACUGCGAUUGGUCAGAGUCCUAAAGCUUCAGAAAGACUUUGGAAUCCUUUACAGACUGAGAGAUAUAAAAAAAUUCCUAGCAUCUCACUGAUUUUAAUAUGCAGAUCUGAACACUGCUGUACUCCCUCAGCCAUCUCUCCUCUUUAUUCACUGGGUUUUGUGGUUUUGGGCUUGCUUCAUAGUGCUGCUCUGUGACAUACAUCAUCGGACUGUGGCUGACUUCAUUCAGCAAGAGGAGCCAGAGAUGAGCUGGAGCUCCAUGGAUCCUUCGGGGGUUUUGCACAAGAAAGCUCCACUUUUCUAAUGCAAUAUUCAAACCCAGCCCUGGUCUGAUGGUGCAGUGUGCUCUGCUACUGCUAAGCUGUCUUUUCUCAUCAUGGUCGGCGCUGAGUCAUUCUCCCCACACAGAAGCUGCCUCCACAGCCUUUACAAACUCUUGACAUUCUCCGCGCUGCUCGAGGGCAGCGGGGGUGAACGCACAAGCAUGGGCAAAUACUGAUGUGUGCACUCAUGGGCUACAAGACAAACACCAAAGUAAGCACACCCAUCUUUUUACAACUACAAGCACAUGUAAAAAUUCCCAUUUUGCUUCACAGACACAUUUUUCUCCAUUUAUGAAAAACAAGGAUUUAAAACUAAAUAUAGUUUGUUUGGCACAGGGUCUUUUAAAACUAUUUCCAUACCUUAAAUUUUUUCCACAUUUUUCAUGUUGCAACCACAACCUCCAGUGAAUUUUAUUGGGAUGUUAUGAGCUAGAGCGACACAAGUACAUUAAAAGAAUCUGCAUGGGUUUGAAAUUGUUCUUAAAAUGAAAACUAGAAAUCUGCGACUGAAUAAAAGUGCACUUUUACUUGAACCCCUUCAGUUUAUACUUUGUAAACUAACUUUUCACACUAGUGAAAGAAACU